UGAAACAUCUAAGUACCCCGAGGAAAAGAAAUCAACCGAGAUUCCCCCAGUAGCGGCGAGCGAACGGGGAGCAGCCCGGAGUCUGAAUCAGCUUGUGUGUUAGUGGAAGCGUCUGGAAAGUCGCAGGGUACAGGGUGAUACUCCCGUACACUAAAACACACAGGCUGUGAACUCGAAGAGUAGGGCGGGACACGUGGUAUCCUGUCUGAAUAUGGGGGGACCAUCCUCCAAGGCUAAAUACUCCUGACUGACCGAUAGUGAACCAGUACCGUGAGGGAAAGGCGAAAAGAACCCCGGCGAGGGGAGUGAAAAAGAACCUGAAACCGUGUACGUACAAGCAGUAGGAGCCCACUAGU
rnacentral:rRNA from 1 species